CCUAGAGUUGUAGGCUUUGCCUGCUAUCUCUUACCCAUGUCUUUUGAGUACCUUACGUCUCCUCGGUGGGUUCGCCCACCGAUUGGACAAAUUUAAACCCUUUGCAGUUGAAAUCAGCGUCUGAAAAAACUUAAUAGUUA
rnacentral:misc_RNA from 1 species